GCCUGGGUGAAACGACAAAGAGUUAGUGAACGGCGGCUUCGAAGUUCGAUCCUCUCCAUGGCCCUCCUCCCCCAGUCCUCUCGUUCCCCAUUUUCCUCCUCCCAAAUCAGGCGAGAUCCAGAGGUGUAACCACCGGAGGAGGCAAAGGAACCGGCGCCGCAACCGAAGCCGAAGACGGGCGGCGAACAUUGGGAAGUGGAUCAUCUGCCACCAUAACCGAAGUCAGUCGGAGGAAGCCGAAGGCGUUGGCGCGUGCGGAGAUUCGUUGCUCGUCGCCAGCGCAGACCAAAAAUGGUUGUACAAGGAGAGGUCUACAAACCGUUCUUCUCGGUAGAAUUCAAAACAGCCCGCCGGUUGGCAGUCUUGUCAUGCUGAUAUCGAUGGGGAGGCAUAGGAUGAUGAGGCAAGU